rnacentral:rRNA from 2 species
AUUGCACCGAGAUUCAACAUGGAACGAGUGGCGGACGGGUGAGUAACACGUGGGUAACCUGCCCUUAAGUGGGGGAUAACAUUUGGAAACAGAUGCUAAUACCGCAUAGAUCCAAGAACCGCAUGGUUCUUGGCUGAAAGAUGGCGUAAGCUAUCGCUUUUGGAUGGACCCGCGGCGUAUUAGCUAGUUGGUGAGGUAAUGGCUCACCAAGGCGAUGAUACGUAGCCGAACUGAGAGGUUGAUCGGCCACAUUGGGACUGAGACACGGCCCAAACUCCUACGGGAGGCAGCAGUAGGGAAUCUUCCACAAUGGACGCAAGUCUGAUGGAGCAACGCCGCGUGAGUGAAGAAGGCUUUCGGGUCGUAAAACUCUGUUGUUGGAGAAGAAUGGUCGGCAGAGUAACUGUUGUCGGCGUGACGGUAUCCAACCAGAAAGCCACGGCUAACUACGUGCCAGCAGCCGCGGUAAUACGUAGGUGGCAAGCGUUAUCCGGAUUUAUUGGGCGUAAAGCGAGCGCAGGCGGGUUUUUUAAGUCUGAUGUGAAAG